rnacentral:snRNA from 1 species
AUCGCUUCUCGGCCUUUUGGCUAAGAUCAAGUGUAGUUUUGGUAGUUUAUAUGUUUCUAGGAAUUUGUCCAUUUCUUCCAGCUUAACCAUUU